UGGAAGAGUAAUGACAGAAGUGGUGUUUAGAAGUAUGGUGAUAAAUAUGACAUAUUUAAUUCUUUUAUCCCAAAAUGUGAGCCAGUCUGAAAAAAUAUGAAUACAUAUGAUUAUGUAAUAAUGAAUACAUUAUGAUUGAGUAGGGGACAGAGCAUCAUGGCUGAAAUAGUUGUAGUCACAGAACUGAAAUAGAAGUAAACAAUAACAACAGCAACUCUAUGUCCUCUCUCUCUACCUCAAUCUCAAAUGAUGGGUAUUAUCCCAAGAUUUCAAAAUCAUUUUCCUUAUAUUAACUAAACUUAGGAACUUUGUUAUGGACUAAAAUAAAAGCAGGAUGGAUACAAUUCAUUGUUUGAACCAUUUGCUGUCCAUAUGUAAAAUAUUUUACAUUGCUAACAGGAAGUUUUUGUAUAGAAAAGGAUAUAACUAUUCUACUGCGAUGCAAUUUAAACAAAAUACAAUAAAAACACUUGAACUGAAUAUGAAGUUCUUGGAAUCAAGAAUCUGGCUGACAUUGUAGGAUGGAGUGAGAGGCCCAGUCUGGCCAGUUUGAGUAUAAAACAGGCAGAAUAUUUCGAGCCUGAUAUGGCCUGUUUGAACGCUAAAGGGUUAAAAAACAUAAAGACACAAUGGUCACAGAGUGUACAUCUUUGAUCAUAGGCCUACACAAGCAAGGCUGACCUGCAGUGAAACAACAAUGAAAUUACCGACAGAAACAAUAUCAGUUAAUAAAGACAUGUUCAAGUUUACUUGAAUAUUUUUA